GAUGAAGAACGUAGCGAAAUGCGAUAAGUAAUGUGAAUUGCAGUAUUCAGUGAAUCAUCGAAUCUUUGAACGCACCUUGCACUCCUUGGUAUUCCGAGGAGUACGCCUGUUCGAGUGUUAUGAAGCUCUCAAAACGCAAUUGGCUUAAAACCUGAUUGUUGUUUUGGAUUUGAACUUUGCCGUGUUAUAACGGCUGGUUUUAAAAGUAUUAGCUGGUACUAGAACGAAUUGGUUCUACUCAACGUGAUAAUUAUCUGAUCGUUGAGGACAUUCCUUUCACGAGGAAUGGCCAUAGUAAAUUCAAUGGACUGCUUCUAAUCUGGCUUUAAUUCUUUAUUGGAUUAACCACUUUUCAAAUCUGACCUCGAAUCAGGUGGGACUACCCGCUGAACUUAAGCAUAUCAAUAAGCGGAGGA
rnacentral:misc_RNA from 1 species